UCUAUACCCACUCCCAGUACAGCCGUCAGGAGUCUUCGGAAGCAGUCCAUCUGUUUUUAAAGUAAUGAUUUUUUAGGCGUUUUACUAAUCUGGACCACCUUUUGGUGUCAAGAUAGUUUGGAAGCUUUACUUUAACAUUAUCUGUACACAUUCUUCCAAAUUGUGGCAGCACUGGGUUGGCGAAGCAUCACAAGAAAACUAGUUAAAAAAGAUCCGCGGUUUUUAG